CAGAGCAGAAACCACCAGCCCACUGCGGCAGCAGAGGGGCCUAUGGCUGGGGCUGUGGGAACAGGGAAGUUGCACCCAGGGCCCCACCCACAGGCACCGUUGCUUACCCUGCCUGGUGCACGGGUCAGUGAAGGGAGUGGCUGCCCUUCUGCUCAGCCCGGUCUUGGUCCCAUUACUUUCUCCGUUUGUUCUGCUGAAGAGAGCCAGGAGGAAGUGAAGUGUCCCCUCCAAGGUCAAGGCAGCCUGCAAACCCCACCUGCCCGCUGAGCCCAUCGUUUCUUUGAUCACAAUGGGUUUCAAGCAGGAAGAUUGCCCUGUCCUGAGGACAGCACAGCCAGCUUCAUGGGCACUUGACAUGAAAACCUCCGGUGGCCUCAGUACCCAGCUUCCAGCUGUCUUGGCAGAUGUUCCGUCCACAAGUUCCAGGAAGUUCAGCAAUGCUUCUGCACUGGGUUCAGCCAGAGCUGACACGAUAAAACAGCAUGUGAGCAUCUCUGGAGUUGGUGUCCCCAGAGUCCGCCUCCUGGAUAUUGCCAGCUGCCUGGACCAACCUUUCCGAAAGAUCAGCCAGGUCACAGUGAGGGUCAAAGAAAUAAAGAAAGAAAAGGAAACCAGGAUUGUACCUGAGGUCAAGCAGGCAGGGCUCAACUCAGCACUGGGAAGAUUGCUAGAAGCCUGGGGCCUCUCUACAAGAACCGAACCCACAUGCGAUCUCCUCUGCAAGGUGGAGGCCACGCACCUGCCUUCUUGCUUCUGA
rnacentral:lncRNA from 1 species